rnacentral:rRNA from 1 species
GAUGAACGCUGGCGGCGUGCCUAAUACAUGCAAGUCGAGCGAACAGACGAGGAGCUUGCUCCUCUGACGUUAGCGGCGGACGGGUGAGUAACACGUGGAUAACCUACCUAUAAGACUGGGAUAACUUCGGGAAACCGGAGCUACUACCGGAUAAUAUAUUGAACCGCAUGGUUCAAUAGUGAAAGACGGUUUUGCUGUCACUUAUAGAUGGAUCCGCGCCGCAUUAGCUAGUUGGUAAGGUAACGGCUUACCAAGGCAACGAUGCGUAGCCGACCUGAGAGGGUGAUCGGCCACACUGGAACUGAGACACAGUCCAGACUCCUACGGGAGGCAGCAGUAGGGAAUCUUCCGCAAUGGGCGAAAGCCUGACGGAGCAACGCCGCGUGAGUGAUGAAGGUCUUCGGAUCGUAGAACUCUGUUAUUAGGGAAGAACAAAUGUGUAAGUAACUAUGCACGUCUUGACGGUACCUAAUCAGAAAGCCACGGCUAACUACGUG